UUCCUGGUAUACAUGUAUGGAUGAGAUUUAAGAAUGCAAGUUCUUGGUAUUGCAAUUCUCACUUAGUCCAAUGUAUCUAAACCGAGAAAUAAGUUCUGAAUUGUAAUCAUUUUUGAAUUUACUGUAUAUUAAAUUGUAGAAAUAACCUUUGCAUUAAAAUUUCCCAGUUCAGGAAAGUAAAGCUUUAGUCUUUUUUUCUGUUUGAUUUUCACUAGUACAUUGUAUGUUGGUGCCCUUUAUACAUUGUUAUAGCUUGCAGUUCGGUGUAAGCCAAUGCUAAUGUUGAAGGUUGUAUCUUGACCAAUUAUUGUUUAAUUUGUACACAUUGUGAAAUGGAUGGAGAGUUGUCUAUUUGGCACUCUUACCACAUCUUCUUAUUCUCUUUAGAGCUAAUUUCCUAAUGCAUGUAGAUUAAGACUUUGGUUGGCUUGCUUGCUUUGUUUGUAUGAAGUUGAAUUUGAUUAUCAGAUAAU
rnacentral:lncRNA from 1 species